UACAGAGGGGGCAAGCGUUAUUCGGAAUUAUUGGGCGUAAAGGGCGCGUAGGCGGCCGUUCAAGUGGCGGGUGAAAUCCCUCGGCUUAACCGAGGAACUGCCUGCCAGACUGGAUGGCUUGAGACCGGGAGAGGUGAGUGGAAUUCCCAGUGUAGCGGUGAAAUGCGUAGAUAUUGGGAGGAACACCAGUGGCGAAGGCGGCUCACUGGACCGGAACUGACGCUGAGGCGCGAAAGCG
rnacentral:rRNA from 1 species